rnacentral:rRNA from 1 species
AAGUGGGGAUGACGUCAAGUCCUCAUGGCCCUUAUGGGUAGGGCUUCACACGUCAUACAAUGGUCGGUACAGAGGGUUGCCAAGCCGCGAGGUGGAGCCAAUCCCAGAAAGCCGAUCGUAGUCCGGAUUGUUCUCUGCAACUCGAGAGCAUGAAGUCGGAAUCGCUAGUAAUCGCGGAUCAGCAUGUCGCGGUGAAUACGUUCCCGGGCCUU